GGAGAGAUGGCCGAGCUUGGUUAUGGCGUCAGGUUAAGGUCCUGAUGGGGCAACCCGCGUGGGUUCGAAUCCCACUCUCUUCA
rnacentral:tRNA from 2 species